rnacentral:rRNA from 1 species
CGCGGUAAUACGAAGGGACCUAGCGUAGUUCGGAAUUACUGGGCUUAAAGGGCUCGUAGGUGGUUAGAAAAGUUGGCGGUGAAAUCCCAAGGCUUAACCUUGGAACUGCCACCGAAACUUUUUGACUAGAGUAUGAUAGAGGAAAGUGGAAUUUCUAGUGUAGAGGUGAAAUUCGUAGAUAUUAGAAAGAACACCAAUUGCGAAGGCAACUUUCUGGAUCAUUACUGACACUGAGGGGCGAAAGCAUGGGUAGCGAAGAGGAUUAGAUACCCUCGUAGUCCAUGCCGUAAACGAUGUGUGCUAGACGUUGGAAAUUUAGUUUUCAGUGUCGCAGCAAAAGCGUUAAGCACACCGCCUGGGGAGUACGACCGCAAGGUUAAAACUCAAAUGAAUUGACGGGGACCCGCACAAGUAGUGGAGCAUGUGGUUUAAUUCGAAGAUACGCGCAGAACCUUACCAACGCUUGACAUGUUCGUCGCGACUCCAAGAGAUUGGAGUUUUCGGUUCGGCCGGACGAAACACAGGUGCUGCAUGGCUGUCGUCAGCUCGUGUCGUGAGAUGUUGGGUUAAGUCCCGCAACGAGCGCAACCCUUACUUUUAGUUGCUACCAUUUAGUUGGGCACUCUAAAAGAACUGCCAGUGAUAAGCUGGAGGAAGGUGGGGAUGACGUCAAGUCCUCAUGGCCCUUAUGUGUUGGGCUACACACGUGCUACAAUGGUACUUACAGUGAGAAGCAAAGAGGCGACUCUAAGCCAAUCCCUAAAAGGUACCUCAGUUCGGAUUGUACUCUGCAACUCGAGUACAUGAAGCUGGAAUUACUAGUAAUCGCGGAUCAGCGCGCCGCGGUGAAUACGUUCCCGGGUCUUGUACACACCGCCCGUCACACCAUGGAAGU